UCGAGAAUCUUCCGCAAUGCGCGCAAGCGUGACGGAGCGACGCCGCGUGAGGGAUGAAGGCCUUCGGGUUGUAAACCUCUGUCGCCUGGGAUGAAUGCUGUGCGGUUAAUAGCUGUCAUAGUUGACGUUACCAGGAAAGGAAGCACCGGCUAAAUACGUGCCAGCAGCCGCAGUAAUACGUAUGGUGCGAACGUUGUUCGGAAUCACUGGGCUUAAAGAGCACGUAGGCGGUUGAGAAAGUCUGAUGUGAAAUCCCUCGGCUCAACCGAGGAAUUGCAUUGGAAACUUCUUGGCUAGAGUGCAGAAGGGGAGAGUGGAAUUCCUGGUGGAGCGGUGAAAUGCGUAGAUAUCAGGAGGAACGCCGGAGGCGAAAGCGACUCUCUGGUCUGUUACUGACGCUGAGGUGCGAAAGCCAGGGUAGCGAACGGGAUUAGAUACCCCCGUAGUCC
rnacentral:rRNA from 1 species